AUACGAUGUAGUAAAUACGACGGUUUAUUUUCAUCAUGUGCAUGUAAGGUCUAGAAGUUAUCUCAAAGGAUAAAUAACAAGAAUUGAAAAGGUACUUUUUGUCGAUUAUACCAAAUAGACAACAAUAUAAAUAUAUGAGAACAUAAAUUCAAUUCAAAUGAUAUUAUUGACUCGUAAAGUUUCCAUCAUGAAGCUGGUAAUAUUUAUUCUGGUUAUCAUCGUCUCCAUCAUGGCUGCUACAGGUUUUCCAGACCAAUCUAGGCAAGAAAGAUCACUGUGUUCCCCUUCAGCAUGUAGCUCAAAAUGUUUUCCAUUUGGAGGAUAUUGCGACAUAUCAAUCUGUUACUGUCAGCUUCAUUUGUGAAAUUAUCAAGAACUAUUUCAUUCGUAUUGAUGCAAUCAUCAUUGCAUUUCAUAUAUUAUUUCAUAAAAUUUCAUUUUGCACUGUAAUUACUAUGCUAUUGGAAUCAAAUUCCGAAUAAAACAUUUUUGUAGUAGUAUUCCUAUAAGGUUCAAACAGGU